CCUACGGGAGGCAGCAGGGAGGAAUAGUGGUCAAUGGACGCAAGUCGGAACCAGCCAGGCCGCGUGCAGGAAGACGGCGCUAUGAGUUGUAAACUGCUUUUGUACGAGGGUAAACGCAGAUACGCGUAUCUGUCUGAAAGUAUCGUACGAAUAAGGAUCGGCUAACUCCGUGCCAGCAGCCGCGGUAAUACGGAGGAUUCAAGCGUUAUCCGGAUUUAUUGGGUUUAAAGGGUGCGUAGGCGGUCGGAUAAGUUAGAGGUGAAAUCCCGAGGCUCAACUUCGGAAUUGCCUCUGAUACUGUUCGGCUAGCGAGUAGUUGCGGUCGGCGGAAUGUAUGGUGUCGCGG
rnacentral:rRNA from 1 species